AACUCUUAGCGGUGGAUCACUCGGCUCGUGCGUCGAUGAAGAACGCAGCUAGCUGCGAGAACUAAUGUGAAUUGCAGGACACAUUGAUCAUCGACCUUUCGAACGCACCUUGCGGCCCCGGUUCCUCCCGGGGCUACGCCUGUCUGUCUGAGAGUCG
ensembl:rRNA 5_8S_rRNA 5.8S ribosomal RNA